CGUAAACGAUGAGUGCUAAGUGUUAGGGNGGUUUCCGCNCCUUAGUGCUGCAGCUAANNCANUAAGCACUCCGCCUGGGGAGUACGACCGCAAGGUUGNAACUCAAAGGAAUUGACGGGGNCCCGCACAAGCGGUGGAGCAUGUGGUUUAAUUNGAAGCAACGCGAAGAACCUUACCAAAUCUUGACAUCCUUUGACCGCUCUAGAGAUAGAGUNNUCNCCUUCGGGGGACAAAGUGACAGGUGGUGCAUGGUUGUCGUCAGCUCGUGUCGUGAGAUGUUGGGUUAAGUCCCGCAACGAGCGCAACCCUUAAGCUUAGUUGCCAUCAUUAAGUUGGGCACUCUAAGUUGACUGCCGGUGACAAACCGGAGGAAGGUGGGGAUGACGUCAAAUCAUCAUGCCCCUUAUGAUUUGGGCUACACACGUGCUACAAUGGACAAUACAAAGGGCAGCUAAACCGCGAGGUCAAGCAAAUCCCAUAAAGUUGUUCUCAGUUCGGAUUGUAGUCUGCAACUCGACUACAUGAAGCUGGAAUCGCUAGUAAUCGUAGAUCAGCAUGCUACGGUGAAUACGUUCCCGGGUCUUGUACACACCGCCCGUCACACCACGAGAGUUUGUAACACCCGAAGCCGGUGGAGUAACCAUUUAUGGAGGCUAGCCUCGAAUGUGAC
rnacentral:rRNA from 1 species